AUGUUUUUGCUGAGGAGGGUUCAAGUGUUAUCCUGUACUUUUUCUGACUCUGGAGUUACAGAUUAUCUCCACUGGUACCGUCAGUAUGGAAGAUCAAAACCUGAAUUUCUUGCACUCACCUACAGCAAUGCAAAAGUUGCUCAGCGGUCUGAUGUAGAUCCAAGAUUCUCUGUUAACAUUCCAAAAAGGGAACAUGUGGAUCUGGAGAUCUCCUCUGCUGCUGUAUCAGACUCUGCUCUGUACUACUGUGCUCUGAGGCCCACAGUGACAGGAAACACAUCAGCUCUCUACAAAAACCUGUUACAAUGA